UACGUAGGGGGCAAGCGUUGUCCGGAUUUAUUGGGCGUAAAGAGCGUGUAGGCGGCUUUACAGGUCCGUUGUGAAAACUCGAGGCUCAACCUCGAGACGCCGGUGGAAACCGUAAGGCUAGAGUCCGGAAGAGGAGAGUGGAAUUCCUGGUGUAGCGGUGAAAUGCGCAGAUAUCAGGAAGAACACCCGUGGCGAAGGCGGCUCUCUGGGACGGUACUGACGCUGAGACGCGAAAGCCAGGGGAGCAAACGGG
rnacentral:rRNA from 1 species